rnacentral:rRNA from 1 species
UACGGGGGGUGCGAGCGUUGUCCGGAAUCACUGGGCGUAAAGGGCGCGUAGGUGGUUUGAUAAGGGUGUGGUGAAAGUCCGGGGCUCAACCCCGGAUCUGCCGUGCCGACUGUCAAACUCGAGGACUGUAGAGGCAGACGGAAUUCCGGGUGUAGCGGUGGAAUGCGUAGAGAUCCGGAGGAAGACCGGUGGCGAAGGCGGUCUGCUGGGCAGUUUCUGACACUGACGCUCAUGCACGAAAGCGUGGGGAGCAAACAGG